rnacentral:rRNA from 1 species
GCCAGACUCCUACGGGAGGCAGCAGUGAGGAAUAUUGGUCAAUGGCCGGAAGGCUGAACCAGCCAUGCCGCGUGAAGGUCAGUGCCCUAUGGGCGUUAAACUUCUUUUGUGCGGGAGCAAUAAUGGUCACGUGUGGCCAGACGAGAGUACCGUACGAAUAAGCAUCGGCUAACUCCGUGCCAGCAGCCGCGGUAAUACGGGGGAUGCAAGCGUUAUCCGGAUUUAUUGGGUUUAAAGGGUGCGUAGGCUGUGAGGUAAGUCAGCGGUCAAAUUGCGGGGCUCAACCCCGUACUGCCGUUGAAACUGCAUCCCUUGAGUGCGCGAGAAGUAUGCGGAAUGCGUGGUGUAGCGGUGAAAUGCAUAGAUAUCACGCAGAACUCCGAUUGCGAAGGCAGCAUGCCGGCUCCACACUGACGCUGAGGCACGAAAGCGUGGGUAUCGAACAGGAUUAGAUACCCUAGUA